AAAGUUAUAAGUUAAUAAAACUGUUAUCGUUCAAAGAUAAAAUUGCUCGUCUAAAAGUUAACUUUA
rnacentral:tRNA from 1 species